rnacentral:rRNA from 1 species
CCUACGGGAGGCAGCAGUGGGGAAUAUUGGGCAAUGGAGGAAACUCUGACCCAGCGACGCCGCGUGCGGGAUGAAGGCCUUCGGGUUGUAAACCGCUUUCAGUAGGGAAGAAGCGAAAGUGACGGUACCUACAGAAGAAGCACCGGCUAACUAUGUGCCAGCAGCCGCGGUAAUACAUAGGGUGCAAGCGUUGUCCGGAAUUAUUGGGCGUAAAGAGCUCGUAGGUGGUUCGUCACGUCGGAUGUGAAAAUCUGGGGCUCAACCCCAGACCUGCAUUCGAUACGGGCGAUCUAGAGUGUGGUAGGGGAGACUGGAAUUCCUGGUGUAGCGGUGGAAUGCGCAGAUAUCAGGAGGAACACCAAUGGCGAAGGCAGGUCUCUGGGCCAUUACUGACACUGAGGAGCGAAAGCGUGGGGAGCGAACAGGAUUAGAUACCCUGGUAGUCCACGCCGUAAACGGUGGGCACUAGUUGUGGGAACCUUCCACGGUUUCUGCGACGCAGCUAACGCAUUAAGUGCCCCGCCUGGGGAGUACAAUCGCAAGAUAAAACUCAAAUGAAUUGACCGGNGNGAGAGUGCGAGACGACGACGAGGGAGUAGG